UACGAAGGGGGCUAGCGUUGUUCGGAAUCACUGGGCGUAAAGCGCACGUAGGCGGAUUGCUAAGUCAGGGGUGAAAUCCUGGAGCUCAACUCCAGAACUGCCUUUGAUACUGGCGACCUUGAGUCCGGGAGAGGUGAGUGGAACUGCGAGUGUAGAGGUGAAAUUCGUAGAUAUUCGCAAGAACACCAGUGGCGAAGGCGGCUCACUGGCCCGGUACUGACGCUGAGGAGCGAAAGCCAGGGGAGCAAACGGG
rnacentral:rRNA from 1 species